rnacentral:rRNA from 1 species
CUACGGGAGGCAGCAGUGAGGAAUAUUGCGCAAUGGGGGCAACCCUGACGCAGCAACGCCGCUGUGGACGAUGAAGGCCUUCGGGUUGUAAAGUCCUUUUCUGAGGGACGAUAAUGACGGUACCUCAGGAAUAAGUCCCGGCUAACUACGUGCCAGCAGCCGCGGUAAAACGUAGGGGGCGAGCGUUAUCCGGAUUUAUUGGGCGUAAAGCGCACGUAGGCGGCGCCGUAAGUUGGACGUGAAAGCUCUCGGCUCAACUGGGAGAGGUCGUUCAAUACUGCGGUGCUCGAGGUUGGAAGAGGAGAGUGGAAUUCCCGGUGUAGUGGUGGAAUGCGUAGAUAUCGGGAGGAACACCAGUGGCGAAGGCGACUCUCUGGUCCACACCUGACGCUGAGGUGCGAAAGCGUGGGUAGCGAACGGGAUUAGAUACCCCGGUAGUCCACGCCGUAAACGAUGGAUACUAGGUGUAGGAGGUCAUUUACCCCUUCUGUGCCGUAGCUAACGCGUUAAGUAUCCCGCCUGGGGACUACGGCCGCAAGSUAAAACUCAAAGGAAUUGACGG